rnacentral:misc_RNA from 1 species
GACUCCACAAGAUUUUAAACAAUUGUUUGUGCAAGUAUCAUUAAAGGCAAAGAAAUUGGAUGGUACGGCAAGUUACAGCUGAGAUAUACAUCAUCAUUCAAAGUUGGCAAUGAUUUAUAUUUCUACAAAAUUGUGGAUGACUCACACGUAAAAGUACGAUUAAGACAGAAAGCUUCUUCACUGAUGGACUCUUUUGAUGGGACCAAUUCCUUCAUGAAGUUGCGUCACUAAACGUCUUAUCCAGUUGAUGGUUUUCGCACAUCAAAGCUUACUCCCAAGUAUUUAUCCAACACAUUCUGAAAUGCCUGGAGAGCAAAUAAUUCUUUCCCAUUCAGAAUUGCAUCCAUAGCAGCAAAUUGGUCAUCAAAUGCCUCAUAGAAAACUUCAUAGAAUUUGUUCCUAUUUUCUUCAGUGGUUAGUUGAUCCAUCUCAUCAAAUUUCUGUGUGAGUACUUCUGCUCCCACCGGUGAAAGCAAGUGCAGUAUCAAAGCCUCCAAAGUUCUUGGAAAAUUGUCCGCCAUAGAAAGAAGGACAUUCUGAAGAGUGUGUGGAUCAAGGGUCCAAAGAAUUUUAGCAACUGGAUCAUCUUCAAGGAUAAACACAUUAGUUGUUGCUGUCUUAUCAUAUUGACCUUUCAUACUAACUGCAGAAUCAUUUGCUGAAGUUGACUCUACCAAAUGACUUUGGUCAAUCAAGUUAACACGGUCAUGAACCAAAGAAACAAGAUCAUGAAGAACCUGGAGUGCAUAAGGCUCCAAUAGAUGCAAGUUAACUCUCUGCUGUUGGUCUGUCCCUUGUAAAUCACUUUUUUCACAUGGCUGCAUCAAAUCACAGUGACUAUGAUCUGCCUCUCCAUUACUAAGCAGCUUGCAUGUGGGCAUCUUCUGUUUCUCCAUGCUAGGAGAAGAAGCCUUCUGGAGUAUGUGGUUCAUUUCUUUAUCCGUCAAUCUUCUUAAUAUUCUGCGCAAAUAAUAAGCAUCCAUGUGUUCUAACAUGCUAGACAUUAUGUUGGACCGCCACCAAAAGUUAACUGCAAUUGUCAAAUUGCUACUGUCUACUUGGUGGAACCAGCCUUCAGGGAUGAAAAGUGCAUCACCUGCAUGAAGAGUUACCUUCUGAG